rnacentral:autocatalytically_spliced_intron from 1 species
AGGAGCCGUAUAUGAGGCCCGUACGUACGGUUCUGUGAGAGGGAAAAACGCCGCUACAUUUCGCGGCGUUUACCUACUCGAU